rnacentral:misc_RNA from 1 species
AGGAGACCUAUGAUAUGAGAGACGAUGGAGGACUGACGUAUGUGAGAGACUGAAGAUUUUUUGUAGAAAAGAGAGAUUGAAGAUUUUUUAUGGACUAAUUGUAGACGUACCAAAGCUUGAGAAUGGGCUAUGGAGGAGACCUGUAAUGUGAGAGACGAUGGAGGAUUGACGUAUGUGAGCGACUGAAGAUUUUUUAUAGAAGGGAGAGACUGAAGAUUUUUUAUGGAAGGGAGAGACUGAAGAUGUGGAAUAAGAAAUGUUUAUAAAUAAAAAGAAUAGGGUAUAAUUAGAAUUUUAUAAAUUGUGUGAGUAUAAAAUUGGAAUACAAAAAUUUUAAAUCAUCUAAAACCACCGAUUUGGUGGUUUAAAAAUAUGUGGUAAAAU